rnacentral:rRNA from 1 species
GGGAACGCCGGGCGAGGAUCGGGGGUAAUGCGGGGGGGGGAAGCGUGAAGCGGAAUGACUGGGCGUAAAGCGCAAGCAGGCGGUCUGUCAAGUCGGAUGGGAAAUCCCCGGGCUAAACCUGGGAACUGCAUUCGAAACUGGCAGGGUAGAGUCUUGUAGAGGGGGGUAGAAUUCCAGGUGUAGCGGUGAAAUGCGUAGAGAUCUGGAGGAAUACCGGUGGCGAAGGCGGCCCCCUGGACAAAGACUGACGCUCAGGUGCGAAAGCGUGGGGAGCAAACAGGAUUGGAUACCCCGGUAGUC